GCGCACGGGUGAGUAACACGUGAAUGAUCUACCUCCGAGUGGGGAAUAACUGAGAGAAAUCUUAGGCUAAUACCGCAUAAUACCCACGGGUCAAAGCAGCAAUGCGCUUGGAGAGGAGUUCGCGGCCGAUUAGUUAGUUGGCGGGGUAAUGGCCCACCAAGACAGUGAUCUGUAUCCGGCCUGAGAGGGCGCACGGACACACUGGAACUGAAACACGGUCCAGACUCCUACGGGAGGCAGCAGUGGGGAAUUUUGCGCAAUGGGGGAAACCCUGACGCAGCAACGCCGCGUGGAGGAUGAAGCCCCUUGGGGCGUAAACUCCUUUCGAUCGGGAAGAUAAUGACGGUACCGGAAGAAGAAGCCCCGGCUAACUUCGUGCCAGCAGCCGCGGUAAUACGAGGGGGGCGAGCGUUGUUCGGAAUUAUUGGGCGUAAAGGGCGCGUAGGCGGUUGGACAAGUCUUGUGUGAAACCUUCAGGCUCAACUUGAAGUCUGCACGGGAAACUGUCCGGCUUGAGUGUGGGAGAGGUGCGUGGAAUUCCCGGUGCAGCGGUGAAAU
rnacentral:rRNA from 1 species